rnacentral:tRNA from 1 species
GGUGGCUCAGUGGUAGAGUGCUUGCCUAGCAUGCAUGAGGUCCUGGGUUCAAUUCCUCAGUACCA